rnacentral:rRNA from 1 species
CCUACGGGUGGCAGCAGUGGGGAAUUUUGGACAAUGGGCGCAAGCCUGAUCCAGCAAUGCCGCGUGCAGGAUGAAGGCCUUCGGGUUGUAAACUGCUUUUGUACGGAGCGAAAAGGCUUCCACUAAUACUGGGGGCUCAUGACGGUACCGUAAGAAUAAGCACCGGCUAACUACGUGCCAGCAGCCGCGGUAAUACGUAGGGUGCAAGCGUUAAUCGGAAUUACUGGGCGUAAAGCGUGCGCAGGCGUUCGAAAUCCCCGGGCUUAACCUGGGAACUGCACUUGUGACUGCAAGGCUGGAGUACGGCAGAGGGGGAUGGAAUUCCGCGUGUAGCAGUGAAAUGCGUAGAUAUGCGGAGGAACACCGAUGGCGAAGGCAAUCCCCUGGGCCUGUACUGACGCUCAUGCACGAAAGCGUGGGGAGCAAACAGGAUUAGAUACCCCAGUAGUC